AGUGAACGCUGGCGGCGUGCCUAACACAUGCAAGUCGAACGAGAACGGGAUAUAGUUUACUAUAUUUGUCAGCUAAGUGGCGCACGGGUGAGUAAUAUAUAGCUAACUUGCCUCUUACUAAGGGAUAAUUGCUGGAAACGGCUUGUAAUACCUUAUAUGCCUUUUAAACAUAAGUUUGUAAAGGGAAAGAUUUAUUGGUAAGAGAUAGGGCUGUACAGUAUCAGUUAGUUGGUGGGGUAAUGGCUUACCAAGACAAUGACACUUAACUGGUUUGAGAGGAUGAUCAGUCACACUGGAACUGAGACACGGUCCAGACUCCUACGGGAGGCAGCAGUGGGGAAUAUUGCACAAUGGAGGAAACUCUGAUGCAGCAACGCCGCGUGGAGGAUGACACAUUUCGGUGCGUAAACUCCUUUUAUAUAAGAAGAUAAUGACGGUAUUAUAUGAAUAAGCACCGGCUAACUCCGU
rnacentral:rRNA from 1 species